UUGAGUUUCAGUUGACAUGAAUAACCCUGCAAUGCAGUGAAUGAGACAGCCUUGAACAGGGCUAAAGCAGUUUUAACACAGCAUGUUGAUCUCAACAGGCCAUUUAAAUCCUGUCUGGUUUCAUUUCCAGACGACCAGUUGAUCCCUCUGUGCCCGGCGCUCUGUGUUUUCAGCAGCCAUUCAUCACGGGUCUGAGCGACUGUCAUGGCCGCCUCUUCCCAGAAGGCCGUUGGCUCACAGCUUGUUAACGUGUCGACUCGCUGACCGCCCACGACUCUGUCUGCAUGUCUCCGCCUGGCCCAAGAGGCUAAUGGGCAAUCUCUCAUCCACUGACUCAGGUGGCGGCGUUUACAUUGGUUUGUAGCGUGGAAUAAAGACGACAGAAGGAGAAGAAGAAGAAGCACCUGUUUGGCAAACCGACAUUAGGAAGCAUCACGUCUUCUGCUCCGAACAACCCCCCUGAUGAGUAUCAUCUGCAGGAUGCUGAAAACACGGCUGAUCUGAGUUACAUUGUGACUGAGCUGGAGAGGACAGGAAGGGGAUGAGGGAUGAAGAGGAGAGAUUACAGAGCUCAGCGAGCAUUUGAUAGACUGUGGCGAAAGAUAUUUGGGACUCAAUUUACUAAAUGAUGCAGGUAAGAACAGAAGAUUACAGAAAUGAAAUCUGGGGAGGCUAUGAGGCCAAAUCUUUUAUUUUAAUUUCCCUACAGUAUCACUACUUACUUUUAUCUACUUAUUAUGAAGGAGCAAUCUUUUUAU